rnacentral:rRNA from 1 species
UACGGAGGGUGCGAGCGUUGUCCGGAAUCACUGGGCGUAAAGGGCGCGUAGGCGGCCUGCUAAGUAGGGGGUGAAAUCUUGCGGCUUAACCGCAAGGCUGCCUUCUAAACUGUCGGGCUAGAGCACAGUAGAGGCAGGUGGAAUUCCCGGUGUAGCGGUGGAAUGCGUAGAGAUCGGGAGGAACACCGGCGGCGAAGGCGACGCUCUGGUCCGUAUCUGACGCUGAGGAGCGAAAGCUAGGGGAGCAAACGGG